ACACGCAUGACACACUGCAUAUCAAUAAGCGGAGGAAAAGAAACUAACUAGGAUUCCCUUAGUAACAGGCGAGUGAAGCGGGAAGAGCUCAAAUUUGAAAUCUUCAAGGUUUUACCUUGACGAAUUGUAGUUUAAAGAAGUGUUUUCUGUUGGAGUUUUGGUAAAAGUUCUUUGGAAUAGGGACAUCAUAGAGGGUGAGAAUCCCGUAUUUGACCAUUAUUUUCAACUGUGUGAUACACUUUCAAAGAGUCGGAUUGUUUGGGAAUGCAGUCCAAAAUGGGUGGUAAAUUUCAUCUAAAGCUAAAUAUUGGCGAGAGACCGAUAGCGAACAAGUACCGUGAGGGAAAGAUGAAAAGAACUUUGAAAAGAGAGUUAAGCAGUACGUGAAAUUGUCAAAAGGGAAGCGUUUGACACCAGUGUUGUUUUCUCGAAAAUCAAUUAAAAGAGGCCGGAUUUUGUGUUGUAUUGACCUUAAAAGCUUUCUUCACUCUUUUCUUGUCUUUUUUAAUGCACUUUUCGUUUAGCAAGUCAACAUCAGUUUCUUUUGUUGUAAAAGGGUCAUUGGAAGGUGGCUUUCUUUUCGGAGAAAGUGUUUAUAGCCUUUGAUCUCUGCAACCGGAGAGACUGAGGUCUGCAGCGUAGACUCUUCGGGGUUAGAUACAUCUGUGCUAAGCUAUAGCUUUUUAUAGACAACUUGUUGACUAUAUUUAGUCUUGUGGCUUACUCGCUUAUGCUAUUUUACCUACGCUUAGGAUGUUGAGCGCAUGUCUCUCUCU
rnacentral:rRNA from 1 species